AACUAUUUAGAUUAGCUUUUGGCUGUUUCUUGUUAAUUAUUUCUUAAUUCUUUAAUUAGAUUGGGACACAGUGUGGAGUAGUGAACAGAGUGAUGGGCUAGGGCUCAAGGAGACCGAGGUUCAAAUCCUUGUCUGGCCAUGGAAACUCAUGGGCGGGGAUGGAACUGGUAACAACCACUCUGCAAAUAUUCAGCAGCAAAAUUAGAGACAGAAGUGUGGGUGUGUGAGAAAUCAUGGGAUGUGGGUCCUUCUGUAACAGUAGCAAAACCAUGUGUGUCUGUGUACACAUGUGCACAUACAUAUGCACGGGAGCAUGAGUGGUGCAAACAAGGUGGACUUCCUGCACUACCUUCUGAGCAAAUAUUAUACAUACAACAGACAUACAGACAUUCAUGCUGCGCCAAUAAGUCCUGGCACCAGUUAGGAGUUGGGGGAACCUGGGUGUCCACACAUUAAAGCCACCACAGACAAUAAAGUCAGACUUUUUUGUCCUGCAGUGCCACCCAUUAUGAUAUUUGCCUCCUCAUCUGGAGACGCAGAGAAACCUAGCAAUUCCCUGAGAUAUAAGUCAAUGCCCUGAGACGUUGGCAACCCUGUCUUACAUAUGUCCCAUUCCUAGGAAUCUAAAAUUUGAAAAAGGAAGGAAGGAAGGAAGGAAAAGAAAAGAAAAGAAAAGAAAGAAAGAAAGAAAGAGAGAAAGAAAGAAAGAAAGAAAGAGAGAAAGAAAGAAAGAAAGAAAGAGAGAAAGAAAGAAAGAAAGAAAGAGAGAAAGAAAGAAAGAAAGAAAGAGAGAAAGAAAGAAAGAAAGAAAGAGAGAAAGAAAGAAAGAAAGAAAGAGAGAAAGAAAGAAAGAAAGAAAGAAAGGGCUCCCAUUCAUCCCCUGGAAUCAUGUCAUCCAAUCAACUAAAUUCAUAAACAAAACUGAACAGAAAGGAUACAGGAUCCAUCAAGUAAGCCUCUGGAACCUAACAAUGGUUUGUUUUUGACUCUGGAUUCUAAUUUGCUUCCCCAAAGACAGACUUUGACAUUCAUCCCAUCUUGUAUGUGAAAGACUUUCAAUCUUCCAAGUUAUUGAACUGAGAGAAAGUUAAGUGUAACCUUAAUAGUAAUGCUUAGCAUUGGUAUUUUGUGUCUUUUGAUUAUUGAAAGUAGGGAUGUGAACUCUUAUUUUUGUAGUCCAUGCAUGUGAGGAUGAGGAACCCUAAAAUUACUCCCUGUAAUUCAUAAGA
rnacentral:lncRNA from 1 species